GCCCGGUUAGCUCAAUCGGUAGAGCGUGAGACUCUUAAUCUCAAGGUUGCGGGUGAGUAGCACAUUAAAAAAAUACGACGUAUAGCAAGAUUUACUAAUUCCCGCUAGGUUCGACCCCCGCAUCGGGCU